CCAGCGCCACCUGCAAGUGCUACUGGAGCGCAUAGUGAUGUCAUAAUCUGCUUUUGAAAUGGCCCCGACAAACAGGCGUUCAUGGCAGCCACCCGUACCAAAUCGCCCAACUCCUUCAAGGAACUCCAGCUGACUUUCUACCCGGAUCUCUCCAGAGCGACCCUAGACUGGAGAAGGUCCCUGAGACCCCUAACUACAGCACUUACACAAGUCAAGGUGCCCUAUAGAUGGGGAACACCAAGGAGCCUUCUGAGGCCCCAAGAAUCCGGGACACUGAAAGUGCUGGAGGCAGAAGACAUACCCAACACUCUACAGAAACUUGGGCUACCAGCCACCUCAAAGAGAUAACCGACCCCUGCUCCGGUCACACAGCCAAGCACCCGGGAGACCUCGAGGGUCCGCCUGUUUGUUCCUGCCGCUCUGCGGGGUGACUCUGCCACUACUGCUGUGCCCUGAACCGCCACAAACUGCAAACAGUGACUAUGCCCUAUCUAUGUUAUUGAUUGUUAUUUGGUUUAUACUACACCACUUCGUUUUGCUUUUUGUUGUUUGUAUUUAAACAUUAAUGCAACUACCAUGCUUCUCAGUAUCGACACGGUCACACCAUAACGUCCACUCCCAGGGACGCGUCCCUCUCCCCUCAGACACACGCUGGCAUAGGGAGUACACUCCCUCUAUCUCCCUCUCCCACUCACCUGCCUCUCUUGCAGCAGCACUAGUAAUGAC